rnacentral:rRNA from 1 species
GGCUCAGAACGAACGCUGGCGGCAGGCCUAACACAUGCAAGUCGAGCGCUUUCUUCGGGGAGGAGCGGCGGACGGGUUAGUAACGCGUGGGAAUAUACCCAGUUCUAAGGAAUAGCCAUUGGAAACGAUGAGAUAAUACCUUAUAACGCCUUCGGGGGAAAGAUUUUAUCGGAAUUGGAUUAGCCCGCGUUAGAUUAGAUAGUUGGUGGGGUAACGGCCUACCAAGUCGACGAUCUAUAGCUGGUUUGAAGAGGAUGAUCAGCAACACUGGGACUGAGCACACGGCCCAGACUCCUACGGGAGGCAGCAGUGGGGCAAUCUUAGACAAUGGGCGCAAGCCUGAUCUAGCCAUGCCGCGCUGAGUGAUGAAGGCCCUAGGGUCGUAAAACUCUUUCGCCAGGGAUGAUAAUGACAGUACCUGGUAAAGAAACCCCGGCUAACUCCGUGCCAGCAGCCGCGGUAAUACGGAGGGGGUUAGCGUUGUUCGGAAUUACUGGGCGUAAAGCGUACGUAGGCGGAUUAGUAAGUUAGAGGUGAAAUCCCAGGGCUCAACCUUGGAACUGCCUUUAAUACUGCUAGUCUUGAGUUCGAGAGAGGUGAGUGGAAUUCCAAGUGUAGAGGUGAAA